rnacentral:rRNA from 1 species
UACGUAGGGUCCGAGCGUUGUCCGGAAUUAUUGGGCGUAAAGGGCUCGUAGGCGGUUUGUCGCGUCGGGAGUGAAAACCUACAGCUUAACUGUGGGCUUGCUUUCGAUACGGGCAGACUUGAGGCAUGCAGGGGAGAACGGAAUUCCUGGUGUAGCGGUGAAAUGCGCAGAUAUCAGGAGGAACACCGGUGGCGAAGGCGGUUCUCUGGGCAUGUUCUGACGCUGAGAAGCGAAAGCAUGGGGAGCGAACAGG